UGGUAAUUGGGAUGAUGGGAAUUUAAACCUCUUCCAGAGUAUCUCUCUGGAGGGCAAGUCAGGUGCCAGCAGCCGCGGUAAUUCCUGCUCAUUUAGCGUAUAUUAAAAUUGUUGCAGUUAAAAAGCUCGUAGUUGAAUUUCUGCUGUAUUGCAUUUUCUCUUUUUAUAUGAGUUUUUGCAUUAUGGCUUAUUUCAGUAUUAAUUUUUUAUUAUUACUGAAUGUUUACUUUGAGAAAAUUAGAGUGCUCAAAGCAGGCUUUUGCCUUGAAUAGUUUAGCAUGGAAUAAUAAAGUAGGACUUUGGUUCUAUUUUGUUGGUUUUAGGUACCAAAGUAAUGGUUAAUAGGAACAGUUGGGGGCAUUCGUAUUUAACUGUCAGAAUGUGGAAUUCUUAGAA
rnacentral:rRNA from 1 species